GACGAACGCUGGCGGCGUUCUUAACACAUGCAAGUCGAACGAAGUGGCGAACGGGUGAGUAACGCGUAAUCAACCUGCCCUUCAGAGGGGGACAACAGUUGGAAACGACUGCUAAUACCGCAUACUGAAGGAGGGGAUUGCGUCUGAUUAGCUAGUUGUAGGUGUAACGGCCCACCAAGGCGAUGAUCAGUAGCCGGUCUGGAAGAAUGACCGGCCAGAUUGGGACGGAGACAAGGCCAAAACGCCUACGGGAGGCAGCAGGGGGGAAUCUGCCGCAAUGGACGAAAGUCUGACGGAGCAACGCCGCGGGAGGGAUGACGGCCUUCGGGUUGUAAAGCUCUGUUAAUCGGGACGCGGUACCGGAAUAGAAAGCCACGGCUAACUACGUGCCAGCAGCCGCGGUAAUAC
rnacentral:rRNA from 1 species